ACAGAAGGAUUACAUUGUUUAUUUAUUCAUUAUUGUUAUCAUCAUGGUGCAUAGUGAUAACACAUUUUUAAUACAAAUAGUAGUAAUAAUUAUUGAAGUCUUAGUCUGGGAACAUCAUAAGAUGGAAUUAUACAAUGUUUAAACUUUUCUGUUUAAAUAUCUUGAUUAUGCAAAACAUUUCAACAAUUUUGUUAAAAUUUAUUUUGUAUUUAGGUUUCAAUGACAAUCAUAUUACUUAUUAUGAAUAACAUGAUGAAUAAUAUGCACAAUAUAAAAUCACAGCACUUAUGGUUUUUAUGGCACAUUAUAAAUAAAUACAAAUUCAAUAACCUAAAACAUUCAUAAUUAUAAUAUUCAUAAUUAUAAGGCAUAAAACAAAAGUUACUUUUGAUAAUAAAAUUGCUUUCAAUUGAAAGAUGUUUGCAUGUACUCAAAAAAUUUGAUAGUAAAAAUCAAACUGCUUGUACAUUAAGUAAUGUAGAUGAAUGAUACAAUUAGUACCCCUGCUAUUAUAACAAUAAAAAAAUGUGUCUGCUACAUGGCCAGUAGAAUAGAAAGUUAUGUGCUAUUACAUCAUAAAAAUGUACAUAUUUACUGAAGUAUUUGAGUACAGUGUUCACAAGAAUACUUUAUAUACACUGUCUACAUGUAGUCAAAGCACUGGCUCAUAUCACAAAGUUGAUUAUUUCAGACAGGUCAUAUCUACAGAAGGAUGUCCAAUCAUAAGCUUUCGUUCUCGACUAGGAUGAACUGAGACUCUUUACUGUUUUUUUUUUAACAACACGGAAAAACUGUAUAAAUAACUUUAAAGGUUUGUUGUUUUUUUUGUUAUAUAUUCCAGUACAUAUUUUAUCAAAAGACUUGAGGAAGUGACUGAAUAAGUUUUUAACUUUCACCGGGCUGCUAAUUUUUUUAAAUGAUUAGAAUGGAAUGUAACAAGGACAGCAUCACACUGAUCUCAGCCAUACAUUGCAUUAAGUAGAUUUACAUAAAAUAUUCAGAGAAUCUAUAUGAUUCUUGAAAUAAUUGGGGAAAAAAAAUAUUUG